rnacentral:rRNA from 1 species
UACGUAGGGGGCUAGCGUUGUCCGGAAUCAUUGGGCGUAAAGCGCGUGUAGGCGGUCCGGUAAGUCCGCUGUGAAAGCCAGGGGCUCAACCCUUGGAUGCCGGUGGAUACUGUCGGGCUCGAGUACGGAAGAGGCGAGUGGAAUUCCCGGUGUAGCGGUGAGAUGCGCAGAUAUCUGGAGGAACACCGGUGGCGAAGGCGGCAUCCUGGACCAACACUGACGCUGAGGAGCGAAAGCCAGGGGAGCAAACGGG